GGUUCGAAGAACUGAUCUAAUUGAGCACCGGGUGUGUGAUAAGUGCCACCGUACCUAUUCCCUGAUGAGUCCUGGUAAGCGAAACUGGAUACUCCUACUGGCGUUCCUGUAAAGGAGAUGAGAAAAUUGAUGAAAAUAGCCUGAGAUGCAAUGGUAUUAGGUGCUAGACGGACAGUUAGAUGAACAAGUUUUUCUUGCGACAGGAGUUGUGUAUGAAAAAGUGGCUAGAGACUUGCCACUUUUUGGAUAUGGAACCCAGAUUGAUGUUUCAAAAGUGGACGUAAACAAAAUUUUUAAUUGAGUGGUUGGAAGAAAAGGAAAGAAUUGUCGAAUGAAAUGACUACCGCUGACACAUAAUGGAGAUUUCCCAUUACAAACGACAUGGUAAACAUUACUUUGUGGAUUUUAGUAUCGACAACAGAAUUUCAAAAAUGUUUGCUAA